rnacentral:rRNA from 1 species
ACGAACGCUGGCGGCAUGCCUAACACAUGCAAGUCGAACGAGACCUUCGGGUCUAGUGGCGCACGGGUGCGUAACGCGUGGGAACCUGCCCUUAGGUUCGGAAUAACUCAGAGAAAUUUGAGCUAAUACCGGAUAAUGUCUUCGGACCAAAGAUUUAUCGCCUUUGGAUGGGCCCGCGUAGGAUUAGCUUGUUGGUGGGGUAAUGGCCUACCAAGGCGACGAUCCUUAGCUGGUCUGAGAGGAUGAUCAGCCACACUGGGACUGAGACACGGUCCAGACUCCUACGGGAGGCAGCGGUGGGGAAUAUUGGACAAUGGGCGAAAGCCUGAUCCAGCAAUGCCGCGUGAGUGAUGAAGGCCUUAGGGUUGUAAAGCUCUUUUACCAGGGAUGAUAAUGACAGUACCUGGAGAAUAAGCUCCGGCUAACUCCGU